rnacentral:rRNA from 1 species
GGAAAGUUGCAAAGUACUUUGAAGAGAGAGUAAACAGUGCGUGAAACCGUUCAGAGGUAAACGGGUGGAGUUGAACUGCAAGCUCUGAGGAUUCAACUGGUGAGAUUGGCGUGAACUUGAUCACGUGGAUUGUGAGCUCGUGUCUGCUUAGCUGCAGGUCUUCGCCUCGGUGAGGAUGCGCGUCUAGCUUAUCAAGCUCUGCGCGCACGGGAAUUCUCGAAUCCGCUCGCCAGUGCACUUUCUCUGAGUGUUCACCACGACCGGCGUUGUCGUCCGGCUGGUGCGGUUAAACCGGCCUUGUAGGGUCCUUGUGGCCUUGCUUGGUCGGGAUGGCAGGUAGCCCGUUGUGUACUUCUGUGUGCUUCGGGUGUAAUAGCCGACUGCAUCGGUUCUGUGCGAUACGUCGGAGACGGCGGCUUGUUGUGCGUGCGGGCGUGCCUGUGUGCUGGCGGCUCUGAGUCUGGUUGCCUUGUUGCUUGUGAAUGCAGGCCGGGUGAUGGCUCGGGGUCGUUCGGUGUGCGGUUGCGUUCGUGGCACUUUGACAGGGCCAAUAGUCUGUGGUGUAGUGGUAGACUAUCCACCCGACCCGUCUUGAAACACGGACCAAGGAGAGUAACAUGUGCGCGAGUCAUUGGGCGUUACGAAACCCAAAGGCGCAGUGAAAGUAAAGGUUCGGCUUGUCCGGGCUGAGGUGAGAUCCUGUCGUUUCUCACGCGUGAUACUAUCAAGCAUCGAGCGGCAGGCGCAUCACCGGCCCGUCCCAUGACGUAGUGGCGGCUUCGGCUUGCUCAUCGUCGGGGCGGAGCAUGAGCGUACAUGUUGAGACCCGAAAGAUGGUGAACUAUGCUUGCGCAGGUUGAAGCCAGAGGAAACUCUGGUGGAGGACCGCAGCGAUUCUGACGUGCAAAUCGAUCGUCAAACGUGAGUAUAGGGGCGAAAGACUAAUCGAACCAUCUAGUAGCUGGUUCCCUCCGAAGUUUCCCUCAGGAUAGCUGA